UAGGGAAUCUUCCGCAAUGGACGAAAGUCUGACGGAGCAACGCCGCGUGAGUGAUGAAGGCUUUCGGGUCGUAAAACUCUGUUGUUAGGGAAGAACAAGUACAAGAGUAACUGCUUGUACCUUGACGGUACCUAACCAGAAAGCCACGGCUAACUACGUGCCAGCAGCCGCGGUAAUACGUAGGUGGCAAGCGUUAUCCGGAAUUAUUGGGCGUAAAGCGCGCGCAGGCGGUUUCUUAAGUCUGAUGUGAAAGCCCACGGCUCAACCGUGGAGGGUCAUUGGAAACUGGGGAACUUGAGUGCAGAAGAGAAAAGCGGAAUUCCACGUGUAGCGGUGAAAUGCGUAGAGAUGUGGAGGAACACCAGUGGCGAAGGCGGCUUUUUGGUCUGUAACUGACGCUGAGGCGCGAAAGCGUGGGGAGCAAACAGGAUUAGAUACCCUGGUAGUCCACGCCGUAAACGAUGAGUGCUAAGUGUUAGAGGGUUUCCGCCCUUUAGUGCUGCAGCUAACG
rnacentral:rRNA from 1 species